GCCCGCGUCUGAUUAGCUAGUUGGUGGGGUAACGGCUCACCAAGGCAACGAUCAGUAUCCGGCCUGAGAGGGCGGACGGACACACUGGGACUGAGACACGGCCCAGACUCCUACGGGAGGCAGCAGUGGGGAAUUGUUCGCAAUGGGCGCAAGCCUGACGACGCAACGCCGCGUGGAGGAUGAAGAUCUUCGGGUCGAAACUCCUUUCGAUCGAGACGAACAUCCUCCGGGUGAACAAUCCGGAGGUUUGACUGUACCGAGAGAAGAAGCCCCGGCUAACUCCGUGCCAGCAGCCGC
rnacentral:rRNA from 1 species